GACGAACGCUGGCGGCGUGCUUAACACAUGCAAGUCGAACGGAAAGGCCCUGCUUUUGUUGGGUGCUCGAGUGGCGAACGGGUGAGUAACACGUGAGUAACCUGCCCUUGACUUUGGGAUAACUUCAGGAAACUGGGGCUAAUACCGGAUAGGAGCUCCUGCUGCUUGGUGGGGGUUGGAAAGUUUCGGCGGUUGGGGAUGGACUCGCGGCUUAUCAGCUUGUUUGUGGGGUAGUUGCUUACCAAGGCUUUGACGGGUAGCCGGCCUGUGAGGGUGAACGGCGACAUUGGGACUGAGAUACGGACCAGAAUCCUACGGGAGGCAGCAGUGGGGAAUAUUGCACAAUGGGCGGAAGCCUGAUGCAGCAACGCGGCGUGCGGGAUGACGGCCUUCGGGUUGUAAACCGCUUUCGCCUGUGACGAAGCGUGAGUGACGGUAAUGGGUAAAGAAGCACCGGCUAACUACGUG
rnacentral:rRNA from 1 species